rnacentral:rRNA from 1 species
GAUGAACGCUGGCGGCGUGCUUAACACAUGCAAGUCGAACGGAAAGGCCGAAGCUUGCUUCGGUACUCGAGUGGCGAACGGGUGAGUAACACGUGGGUGAUCUGCCCUGUACUUCGGGAUAAGCUUGGGAAACUGGGUCUAAUACCGGAUAUGACGAUCUCUUGGAUGGGGUUGUGGAAAGCUUUUGCGGUAUGGGAUGAGCUCGCGGCCUAUCAGCUUGUUGGUGGGGUAAUGGCCUACCAAGGCGUCGACGGGUAGCCGGCCUGAGAGGGUGUACGGCCACAUUGGGAAUGAGAUACGGCCCAGACUCCUACGGGAGGCAGCAGUGGGGAAUAUUGCACAAUGGGCGCAAGCCUGAUGCAGCGACGCCGCGUGGGGGAUGACGGCCUUCGGGUUGUAAACUCCUUUCGCAAUCGACGAAGCCUUUUGGUGACGGUAGGUUGAGAAGAAGCACCGGCUAACUACGUG